rnacentral:misc_RNA from 1 species
GAUGAAGACGUAGCGAAAUGCGAUACUUGGUGUGAAUUGCAGAAUCCCGUGAACCAUCGAGUCUUUGAACGCAAGUUGCGCCCGAAGCCAUUAGGCCGAGGGCACGCCUGCCUGGGCGUCACACGUCGUUGCCCCCCCAUCUACUCCUUCGGGAUUGCGGGGGGCGGAUGAUGGCCUCCCGUGCGCCUCGUCGCGCGGUUGGCAUAAAUGCCAAGUCCUCGGCGACACACGCCACGACAAUCGGUGGUUGCGAAACCUCGGUUGCCCGUCGUGUGCGGUCGUCGCGCAUCGAGGGCUCGAAAAAAUUGCCGGGCUCCGGCUCGGCUUUCAACGCGACCCCAGGUCAGGCGGGGUUACCCGCUGAAUUUAAGCAUAUCAAUAAGCGGAGGA